GCUUGUCUCAAAGAUUAAGCCAUGCAUGUCUAAGUAUAAACUGCUUUAUACUGUGAAACUGCGAAUGGCUCAUUAAAUCAGUUAUCGUUUAUUUGAUAGUACCUUUACCUGGAUAACCGUGGUAAUUCUAGAGCUAAUACAUGCUAAAAAUCCCGACUUCGGAAGGGAUGUAUUUAUUAGAUAAAAAACCAAUGCCCUUCGGGGCUCCUUGGUGAUUCAUAAUAACUUAACGAAUCGCAUGGCCUUGCGCCGGCGAUGGUUCAUUCAAAUUUCUGCCCUAUCAACUUUCGAUGGUAGGAUAGUGGCCUACCAUGGUCUCAACGGGUAACGGGGAAUUAGGGUUCUAUUCCGGAGAGGGAGCCUGAGAAACGGCUACCACAUCCAAGGAAGGCAGCAGG
rnacentral:rRNA from 1 species